rnacentral:rRNA from 1 species
UACGUAGGGGGCAAGCGUUGUCCGGAUUUAUUGGGCGUCAAGAGCUCGUAGGCGGUUCGAUAAGUCGGACGUGACAUCUCCACGCUCACCGUGGAGGGGCCGUUCGGUACUGUCGUGACUCGAGUCCGGUAGGGGAGUGUGGAAUUCCCGGUGUAGCGGUGAAAUGCGCAGAGAGCGGGAGGAACACCCGUAGCGAAGGCGGCACUCUGGGCCGGUACUGACGCUGAGGAGCGAAAGCGUGGGGAGCAAACAGG